GCGCAGGGAGCCUCGGGGCGCAGAGACCACAGCGCAGGGAGCACGACAUGUCUCCCAGGUGUCAGGUGGUGCUGCAACCUCAUCGGGGGCUGCAGUUGCAGCCCUUUCUGCGCUGACGCUGGCAGUGAGCACUUCCUUCUGGUCUGGGAGGCGUGACAGGUGCAGCUCACCUGCAGCCUCCCUAACAGGUGCAGUUACCCCUGCAGCCUCUCUGACAGGUCCUGCUCACCUGCAGCCUCCUGGGGGUGGAGGUGGGCUACUUUUUCCCUUGCUGCAUUCUGGGUCAGUUUGGUUUCUGUAGAUUUGAUUGGAAGCUCGGUGAGGACAGGUGGCCUCUCUGCUUUGCUUCCCGAUGUCGUCUCCAGGUCAGGCCCUCAAUGUUUCCCUGCAGCCACUCUAGCUGCAGCCUGCAGCAGCCCCCAGUGAUCCAGGGGACCCCCUGCCCCGGGACAGCGUCCAGCGCAAUGCCUCCAGCCUGUCUCUGAGCCUUGCUAAAGGGCUCCUUCCAGCACCCAACAGGACUGACAAACUCCUGUCCUCAACCCUGCUCUCCUGAUCUUUUCUGACAUGACAUUAAAACUUUUGCAGAACUCGGUGAAUAAAUUCACACCCUUUCUCCUACAUGGGACACACUUCCAGGGGUGUGACUCUCCCUGGCAUCGAGGGAUUGAGAAAGACUUCUUGACCGAAAGGGGGAAAAGAAAUGCAAGAAUAUAAAGUUUUAGUGGCUGAGAGAUUUCAAAUAGAGUUGAGAGGUCACUCUGGAGGUUACUCUUAUGCAAGCUUCAGCUGGAUAUUGCAAAUUGCCGCUAUAGGCCAAGCUCCAAGCCACAGUGUUCCCUAAAACCAUCAAGAAUACCCAGGGCUCUAUCUAAGUCUCUAUAAAAGUUUUACUUAUCGGGUUUAUUUUUUCAGAAACCUAAAGUCUCCAGAUGGCUCCUAUGCCAGAUAAGCCCUGAAACCCAAGGUCCCAGUCUCUCCAAGAACAUCAACCAGGUUCAUUCCUCCACCCCAUAAGGUCAACACCCCGUUUUCAGUACAAAGAAGUUAGAAUGGUCAUUGCCCAGCUUUCCCUGAAGACAUAGAAUGUUCAGAUGAGACGGAGGAGGGGUAACUGAGAAAUUGGAUUUGAUGAAUAGUUAUGACUGACUCAUUAUACAGACAUUUCUUUUUAGUUUCUAGUGUAUCAGAAUAGCCAGAAGGAAAUUCCUGAAACUGUUGCGCUGUCCCCCAGUACCCUUGAUCUAAUGAUUGCAGAACUACACGCUCUCACCAUGUGACUGUGACCGUGAGAACCCCGGGACGCCCCCUUUGUCCACUGUAUGGGUAGACGAGUAAUAAAAUAAUGACAUGCAUGAAAACAGGAA